rnacentral:rRNA from 1 species
UACAGAGGGUGCAAGCGUUGCUCGGAAUCACUGGGCGUAAAGGGCGCGUAGGUGGUGGCUUAAGCGUGCGGUGAAAGCUCGGGGCUCAACCCCGAGUCGGCCGUGCGAACUGGGCUCACUGGAGCAUAGUAGAGGCAGGUGGAAUUCCGGGUGUAGCGGUGGAAUGCGUAGAGAUCCGGAAGAACACCGGUGGCGAAGGCGGCCUGCUGGGCUAUGGCUGACACUGAGGCGCGACGAGCGUGGGGAGCAAACAGG